UGGGGAAUUUUGGACAAUGGGGGCAACCCUGAUCCAGCAAUGCCGCGUGUGUGAAGAAGGCCUUCGGGUUGUAAAGCACUUUUGUCCGGAAAGAAAACGUCGUGGUUAAUACCCGUGGCGGCUGACGGUACCGGAAGAAUAAGCACCGGCUAACUACGUGCCAGCAGCCGCGGUAAUACGUAGGGUGCAAGCGUUAAUCGGAAUUACUGGGCGUAAAGCGUGCGCAGGCGGUCCGCUAAGACAGAUGUGAAAUCCCCGGGCUUAACCUGGGAACUGCAUUUGUGACUGGCGGGCUAGAGUAUGGCAGAGGGGGGUAGAAUUCCACGUGUAGCAGUGAAAUGCGUAGAGAUGUGGAGGAAUACCGAUGGCGAAGGCAGCCCCCUGGGCCAAUACUGACGCUCAUGCACGAAAGCGUGGGGAGCAAACAGGAUUAGAUACCCUGGUAGUCCACGCCCUAAACGAUGUCAACUAGUUGUCGGGUCUUCAUUGACUUGGUAACGUAGCUAACGCGUGAAGUUGACCGCCUGGGGAGUUUACGGUC
rnacentral:rRNA from 1 species